rnacentral:rRNA from 1 species
ACGCUCGACACCUACGGGAGGCAGCAGUCGGGAAUAUUGCGCAAUGGAGGAAACUCUGACGCAGUGACGCCGCGUAUAGGAAGAAGGUUUUCGGAUUGUAAACUAUUGUCGUUAGGGAAGAGAAAGGACAGUACCUAAGGAGGAAGCUCCGGCUAACUACGUGCCACAGCCGCGGUAAUCUGAGGCGGGCUGGCAAGGC